GUGGGGAGCCACACCAGCCUCUUGUCCAGCUGCAGGCAGGAUAGCCCCUGGCCUAAGGCUCUGUCCUCUUGCAGGCCUAUCCCCCUCAGUGCAGACGUUGUCCCUGUCCAUCACACCCGCCCAGACCGCUGCCUGGAGGAAACAGAUCUUCCAGCAGCUCACGGAGAGGACCAAGCGAGAGCUGGAGAGCUUCAGACACUAUGAACAGGCCGUAGAGCAGGUAGGCUGCUUGUUUGCCUGUUUGCAGUG
rnacentral:lncRNA from 1 species